rnacentral:rRNA from 1 species
AAGGCCUGCGGGUUGUAAAGCACUUUUAGUGGGAUGAAAAUUCAGGGCUAAUAACCCUGGGUCUUGACCUAACCCAAAGAAAAAGCACCGGCUAACUCUGUGC